GUUCCCCCCCUAUUGUUUUAUUAGGGCCCCCACCCACCGCUCAGGGGUGGGGGCCAGGGGGGGAAGACAGUAGGUCCCCCCCUACCUUUAUUUAGGGCCCCCACCCACCGCUCAGGGGUGGGGGCCAGGGGAGGGAGGACAGU